rnacentral:siRNA from 1 species
UUAGGCCUGAGAUUGGACGCCU